rnacentral:lncRNA from 1 species
AAUAACAUUUUGAGAAUAAGAUAAAAAAAAAUUAGAACAAUUCAUGUUCAAAUGGUAACUCGAGGUCGUUUCCAUGUAUAAAAUGUCUUAAAUUCAGGCUAAAACUUUUUAUAUUUAUAAUGUUAAAAGAUAGAGAAGUUUGAUGAUUUAGCAAAAAGCAAAUGAUUGAUUGUUGCCUGCUUCAUGUUCCGCAAGAAUUAUUUCAUGUAUAUUCCAGACAAAAACCAUAGCAGGUAUAUUAAAGGCUGUUCAAGGUAGGCCGCUGGAAUUCAAAAUAGGUUCUUUAAUCAGUCACGGCCGAUGGAGGGAAGAUGAAAUAAACGAAAGGAUUUUAAAUCGCGACAUAGCACAAUGCGGGUUUGUUGUCUCAGAAUUAUGUUAGACUAAAAUCUAACGUUGAGAGUAUGAUACCGGGUCUCUUUAGACGAGGCGUCGUCCCGAUUUCGACCGGACGUGACUGCGUAUUUAAACAUCCCGCACAAGUAUUCGGGUGCCCCAUUUCAAUGACAAAUCUUAUAAUAACUGACAGAUCGGAAUUCACGGUAGACUUGUUGGUGACCAUACAUAUAUACACCAACCAGCAACCAGAUACACC